UGGUGGUCUGUGACUGUUUCUGUGGGUUCAGCAGUUCUCUUAAUAACAGCUGUGGUGAUCAUUAUAUGGAAGAAAACUAAAGGAAAUAAAAAGAAGGAAGGAAACACUGCUGGUCCUGAAGAUGCUGUUGUCUAUGCGACUGUCAGCCACACCAAGAAG